UACGUAGGGUGCGAGCGUUGUCCGGAAUUACUGGGCUUAAAGGGCUCGUAGGCGGUCUGUCACGUCAGGAGUGAAAACUCGGGGCUUAACUGCAAGCCUGCUUCUGAUACGGGCAGACUAGAGGUAUGCAGGGGAGAAUGGAAUUCCUGGUGUAGCGGUGAAAUGCGCAGAUAUCAGGAGGAACACCGGUGGCGAAGGCGGUUCUCUGGGCCUUACCUGACGCUGAGGAGCGAAAGUGUGGGGAGCGAACAGG
rnacentral:rRNA from 1 species